GACGAACGCUGGCGGCGUGCCUUACACAUGCAAGUCGAACGGGAUCCAAGGAGUGCUUGCACUCCUGAAGAUCUAGUGGCGAACGGGUGAGUAACACGUGAGAAACCUGCCCCAGACUCUGGGAUAACUUCGGGAAACCGAUGCUAAUACCGGAUAUUCUCCUUUGGUCGCAUGGCCAGUUGAGGAAAGUUUUUCGGUCUGGGAGGGUCUCGCGACCUAUCAGCUAGUUGGUGAGGUAACGGCCCACCAAGGCUACGACGGGUAGCUGGUUUGAGAGAACGAUCAGCCACACUGGAACUGAGACACGGUCCAGACUCCUACGGGAGGCAGCAGUGGGGAAUCUUGCGCAAUGGGCGAAAGCCUGACGCAGCAACGCCGCGUGCGGGAUGAAGGCUCUCGGGUCGUAAACCGCUUUCAGCAGGGACGAAAAUGACGGUACCUGCAGAAGAAGCUCCGGCUAACUACGUG
rnacentral:rRNA from 1 species